GAAUUGUAGUUUAUAGAAGCGUUUUCGGUGGCAGCCUGGGUAUAAAUCCUUUGGAAUAGGGUAUCAUAGAGGGUGAGAAUCCCGUCUUUGACUCAGUGCAUGCUACUAUGUGAUACGUUUUCAAAGAGUCGAGUUGUUUGGGAAUGCAGCUCAAAAUGGGUGGUAAAUUUCAUCUAAAGCUAAAUAUUGGCGAGAGACCGAUAGCGAACAAGUACCGUGAGGGAAAGAUGAAAAGAACUUUGAAAAGAGAGUUAAACAGUGCGUGAAAUUGUUGAAAGGGAAACGUUUGACACCAGUUAUGCGGGUGGAAAAUCAGUCUUUUGCAAUGGGGAGUUGUGGGCGUUCAGACCGCAAGGCUGGCGUUUGCUUCAUCUUUGUUGUAAGUGAUGCACUUUUUCAUUUGCAGGUCAACAUCAGUUUGCUUUGCUGGACAAAACCCCAAGGGAAGGUGGCAGCUUAGGCUGUGUUAUAGCCCUGGGGCGAUACAGUGGAGUGGACUGAGGUUUCGCAGUGUGUGCUCUCGGGCAAGGCUGACUGGGUGCUAUGGGAUCGUUCGGCGUACAAUGCAUGCAUUUUGCGUCGUGUCUUUUUCAUACUCGCUCAACUCGGCUCUUCCACACUUAGGAUGUUGACUUAAUGGUUUUAAACGACCCGUCUUGAAACACGGACCAAGGAGUCUAACAUAUAUGCAAGUGUUUGGGUGGCAAACCCAUGCGCGUAAUGAAAGUGAACGUAGGUGCGAUCCGCAAGGUGCAGCAUCGACCGAUCUUGAUAUUUUUGGAUAGAUUUGAGUAAGAGCAUAUAUGCUGGGACCCGAAA
rnacentral:rRNA from 1 species